AACGGCCGUACCGUGCUGAAUAUACCGGUUCUCGUUAGAUCACCGAAGUCAAGCAUCAUUGGGCGCGGUCAGUACUUGGGUGGGUGACCACCUGGGAACACCGCGUGCCGUU